rnacentral:rRNA from 2 species
CCUGGCUCAGAUUGAACGCUGGCGGCAGGCCUAACACAUGCAAGUCGAGCGGAUGAAGAGAGCUUGCUCUCUGAUUCAGCGGCGGACGGGUGAGUAAUGCCUAGGAAUCUGCCUGAUAGUGGGGGACAACGUUUCGAAAGGAACGCUAAUACCGCAUACGUCCUACGGGAGAAAGCAGGGGACCUUCGGGCCUUGCGCUAUCCGAGAUGUCUAGGUCGGAUUAGCUAGUUGGUGAGGAAUGGCUCACCAAGGCGACGAUCAGUAACUGGUCUGAGAGGAUGAUCAGUCACACUGGAACUGAGACACGGUCCAGACUCCUACGGGAGGCAGCAGUGGGGAAUAUUGGACAAUGGGCGAAAGCCUGAUCCAGCCAUGCCGCGUGUGUGAAGAAGGUCUUCGGAUUGUAAAGCACUUUAAGUUGGGAGGAAGGGCAUUAACCUAAUACGUUAGUGUUUUGACGUUACCGACAGAAUAAGCACCGGCUAACUUCGUGCCAGCAGCCGCGGUAAUACGAAGGGUGCAAGCGUUAAUCGGAAUUACUGGGCGUAAAGCGCGCGUAGGUGGUUUGUUAAGUUGAAUGUGAAAGCCCCGGGCUCAACCUGGGAACUGCAUCCAAAACUGGCAAGCUAGAGUAUGGCAGAGGGUGGUGGAAUUUCCUGUGUAGCGGUGAAAUGCGUAGAUAUAGGAAGGAACACCAGUGGCGAAGGCGACCACCUGGGCUAAUACUGACACUGAGGUGCGAAAGCGUGGGGAGCAAACAGGAUUAGAUACCCUGGUAGUCCACGCCGUAAACGAUGUCGACUAGCCGUUGGGAUCCUUGAGAUCUUAGUGGCGCACGUAACGCAUUAAGUCGAC